rnacentral:rRNA from 1 species
AUUGAACGCUGGCGGCAGGCUUAACACAUGCAAGUCGAACGAGUGGCGGACGGGUGAGUAAUGUCUGGGAAACUGCCUGAUGGAGGGGGAUAACUACUGGAAACGGUAGCUAAUACCGAAUAACAUAAGAUGUGCCCAGCUGGUAUUAGAUCGUUGGUGGGGUAAUGGCACACCUAGGCGACGAUCCCUAGCUGGUAUGAGAGGAUGACCAGCCACACUGGAACUGAGACACGGUCCAGAGUCCUACGGGAGGCAGCAGUGGGGAAUAUGGCACAAGUGGCGCAAGCGUGAUGCAGCCACGCCGCUUGUGUGAAGAAGGCCUUCGGGUUGUAAAGCACUGUCAUCGAGGAGGCGUUACUCGCCGAAGAAGCACCGGCUAACUCCGUGCCAGCAGACGCGGUAAUAC